rnacentral:rRNA from 1 species
CCCUUAGAUGUUCUGGGCUGCACGCGCGCUACACUGAUGCACUCAACGAGUUUACGACCUUGCCCGAUAGGGUUGGGUAAUCUUUUUAAAAUGCAUCGUGAUGGGGAUAGAUUAUUGCAAUUAUUAAUCUUCAACGAGGAAUUCCUAGUAAGCGCGAGUCAUCAGCUCGUGCUGAUUACGUCCCUGCCCUUUGUACACACCGCCCGUCGCUCCUACCGAUUGAGUGCUCAGGUGAAUAAUUCGGACUGCAGCAAUGUUUGGAUCCCGAACGUUGCAGCGGAAAGUUUAGUGAACCUUAACACUUAGAGGAAGGAGAAGUCGUAACA